UACGGAGGGUGCAAGCGUUAUCCGGAUUCACUGGGUUUAAAGGGUGCGUAGGUGGGUCUGUAAGUCCGUGGUGAAAUCUCCGAGCUUAACUUGGAAACUGCCAUGGAUACUAUAGGUCUUGAAUAUUGUGGAGGUCAGCGGAAUAUGUCAUGUAGCGGUGAAAUGCUUAGAUAUGACAUGGAACACCAAUUGCGAAGGCAGCUGGCUACGCAUAUAUUGACACUGAGGCACGAAAGCGUGGGGAUCAAACAGG
rnacentral:rRNA from 1 species